rnacentral:rRNA from 1 species
GUACAACUCACCUGCCGAAGCAACUAACCCUGAAAAUGGAUGGCGCUAAAGCGUCGUGCCUAUACCGGGCCGUCAACGGCACAGUGGGCCUCUGCCUUCGGGCAAGAGCCGUUACGUCUUGACGAGUAGGAGGGUCGCGGCGGUGUGCGCAGAAGGGUCUGGGCGUGAGCCUGCCUGGAGCCGCCGUCGGCGCAGAUCUUGGUGGUAGUAGCAAAUACUCUAGAGAGGGCCUGGAGAGCCGAUGUGGAGAAGGGUUUCUUGUGAACAGCCGUUGUACAAGAGUAAGUCGAUCCUAAGUGCUAGGAGAAAUCCGAUGUUGAUGGUCUGGCUGUCGACUUCUAUUCUCAACACUUAGAAAACGCUUCAGGCUUCCGGGCCGUAAAAGCGUAGGCUUUUUCUCUACCAUACACUAUCAAGUGUGGAUUGCUCUGACGUGUUUUCCGGUGGGCUGUUGCUUGAUACGCUUCAGUCUGUAUGGACUUGAACGACCCAUUGCCCCACCAGUGGUGGGGCUAGUCGUUCAUCGGGUCAGAGUAAUCCAGGCUCUAUGGCACUUGUGUCUUGCUAGCUGAACGAAAGUAUCAGAACUAGCCUUGGAGCUUUUGGGCGAGAAAUAGCAAUGUGUUAUCCUUAGCCCGUUGAAGGGCGAAAGGGAAUCCGGUCAACAUUCCGGAACCCGGCUGCGUAAACCGCUCUCUGUUGGCGUAAGCCGGCGAGCGCUUUGUUGGGGUAACCCAAGCUGUCCCGGAGACUCUGGCGGGGGGUCUGGGAAGAGUUUUCUUUUCUUUUUAAGCGUUCGUGGACCCUGGAAUUCUAUAGCAGAGAGAUAGGGUUUGGAACGCGAAAAACAUCGCAGUUGCGGCGGUGACCGGACUUCCCCCCCGGACCUUGAAAAUCNGGGUGAGAGCGACGCGGUGAUCGCGCCGGUUCGUAUCCAUAUCCGCAUCUGGUCUCCAAGGUUCAAAGCCUCUUGUCGAUAGAAUAAUGUAGGUAAGGGAAGUCGGCAAAUUGGAUCCGUAACUUCGGGACAAGGAUUGGCUCUGAGGAUCGGGGCGUGUCGGGCUUGGUCGGGAAGCGGGUCAGUGCCAACGUGCCGGGCCUGGGCGAGGGUUGUGUGGAUUCUUCGGUAGAAAUAUCGGGUUUCCCACGAUCCGAACUCGGUCCCGUGCCACUUGGCCUCCCGCGGAUCUUCCUUGCUGCGGGUUUUCGACCAAGCAGAUCAGGCUGGGCCACUCCAGGCCCGCCAGGACGGCUUCGAAUCAAUCCCUUCGGCCGCCAUUCAACGGUCAACUCAGAACUGGCACGGACAAGGAGAAUCCGACUGCCUAAUUAAAGCAAAGCAUUGCGAGGGCUCUAGCCGAGUGCUUACGCAAUGUGAUUUCUGCCCAGUGCUCUGAAUGUCAACGUGUAGAAAUUCAAGCAAGCGCGGGUAAACGGCGGGAGUAACUAUGACUCUCUUAAGGUAGCCAAAUGCCUCGUCAUCCAAUUAGUGACGCGCAUGAAUGGAUUAACGAGAUUCUCACUGUCCCUAUCUACUAUCUAGCGAAACCACAGCCAAGGGAACGGGCUUGGAAACAUUAGCGGGGAAAGAAGACCCUGUUGAGCUUGACUCUAGUCUGGCACUGUAAGGAGACAUGAGAGGUGUAGCAUAAGUGGGAGAUGGCGUGGCUUUAUGCCUGUCCGUCGACGGUGAAAUACCACUACUUUCAUCGUUUCUUUACUUACUCGGAUAGGCGGAGAGCGUGUCCGUCGAGGGCUCAGCCCACGCGGACCGGUAUUCUCGCGCCAAGCGUCCGGGUUGCCGGCAAGCGCCCGUCAGUGCUUGGGUUACGUGCGGUCCUUGACUUGUCACCGCAAGGGGGCUGUCACCGACCCACGGCCCUUGCCUCGACUGGGCGCCGUCGACCGGCAAACACUCCCACGCGUGAUCCGAUUCGAGGACACAGCCAGGCGGGGAGUUUGACUGGGGCGGUACAUCUGUCAAAUGAUAACGCAGGUGUCCUAAGGCCAGCUCAGCGAGGACAGAAACCUCGCGUAGAGCAAAAGGGCAAAUGCUGGUUUGAUCCCGAUGUCCAGUAGGCAUAGGGACUGCGAAAGCAGGGCCUGUCGAUCCUUUUGGCUUGAAGAGAUUUCAGCAAGAGGUGU